rnacentral:rRNA from 1 species
UGGGCACCACCAGGAGUGGAGCCUGCGGCUUAAUUUGACUCAACACGGGGAAACUCACCCGGCCCGGACACCGGAAGGAUUGACAGAUUGAUAGCUCUUUCUUGAUUCGGUGGAUGGUGGUGCAUGGCCGUUCUUAGUUGGUGGAGCGAUCUGUCUGGUUAAUUCCGAUAACGAACGAGACUCUAGCCUAUUAAAUAGACGUCGGGUUCUCUGCACUCGACGGUCUUCUUAGAGGGACAAGGUGCUUUUAGCACCGCGAAACAGAGCAAUAACAGGUCUGUGAUGCCCUUAGAUGUCCGGGGCCGCACGCGCGCUACACUGAAGGAAGCAGCGUGUAACAACCUUGUUCUAACGAACUGGGUAACCCGUGGAACUUCCUUCAUGAUUGGGAUAGGGGUUUGCAAUUGUGCCCCUUGAACGAGGAAUUCCCAGUAAACACUAGUCAUCAGCUAGUGCUGAUUACGUCCCUGCCCUUUGUACACACCGCCCGUCGCUACUACCGAUUGAAUGGUUUAGUGA